rnacentral:rRNA from 1 species
UACGUAGGGUGCAGGCGUUAAUCGGAAUUACUGGGCGUAAAGCGUGCGCAGGCGGUUUGCUAAGACAGGUGUGAAAUCCCCGGGCUUAACCUGGGAACUGCGCUUGUAACUAGCAGGCUAGAGUGUGGCAGAGGGGGGUGGAAUUCCAGGUGUAGCAGUGAAAUGCGUAGAUAUCAGGAGGAACACCGAUGGCGAAGGCAGGUCUCUGGGCAGUAACUGACGCUGAGGAGCGAAAGCGUGGGGAGCGAACAGG